UACGAAGGGGGCUAGCGUUGCUCGGAAUUACUGGGCGUAAAGCGCACGUAGGCGGCUAUCCAAGUCAGUGGUGAAAGCCCGGAGCUCAACUCCGGAACUGCCAUUGAAACUGUUUAGCUUGAGGAUGAGAGAGGUGAGUGGAAUUCCCAGUGUAGAGGUGAAAUUCGUAGAUAUUGGGAAGAACACCGGUGGCGAAGGCGGCUCACUGGCUCAUUACUGACGCUCAGGCGCGAUAGCGUGGGGAUCAAACAGG
rnacentral:rRNA from 1 species